CCCUGGCUCAGAUUGAACGCUGGCGGCAGGCCUAACACAUGCAAGUCGAGCGGAUGACAGGAGCUUGCUCCUGAAUUCAGCGGCGGACGGGUGAGUAAUGCCUAGGAAUCUGCCUGGUAGUGGGGGACAACGUUUCGAAAGGAACGCUAAUACCGCAUACGUCCUACGGGAGAAAGCAGGGGACCUUCGGGCCUUGCGCUAUCAGAUGAGCCUAGGUCGGAUUAGCUAGUUGGUGAGGUAAUGGCUCACCAAGGCGACGAUCCGUAACUGGUCUGAGAGGAUGAUCAGUCACACUGGAACUGAGACACGGUCCAGACUCCUACGGGAGGCAGCAGUGGGGAAUAUUGGACAAUGGGCGAAAGCCUGAUCCAGCCAUGCCGCGUGUGUGAAGAAGGUCUUCGGAUUGUAAAGCACUUUAAGUUGGGAGGAAGGGCAGUAACUUAAUACGUUGCCGUCUUGACGUUACCGACAGAAUAAGCACCGGC
rnacentral:rRNA from 1 species